rnacentral:rRNA from 1 species
GGCGACUGAAACGGGACUAGACCAGCGCAUAACCUCGCGGCCCUGACGUGGCCGUCGAGGGGUGUUGCGUGAAGGUGGAUCCGUUCCGUCCGAGCCGCUCACCGCCUAAGUCAUUGCUUGAAAGCAGCCCCAUGGAGGGUGAUAGGCCCGUGUGGCGGCGCCUGUAAAAAGGGUGUAGGCGGCUUCGGGCGGGUGGGUCUUCACCGUAGAGUCGGGUUGCUUAGUACUGCAGCCCUAAGCAGGUGGUAAACUCCAUCUAAGUCUAAAUACUACCACGAGUCCGAUAGUCGACAAGUACCGUGAGGGAAAGCUGAAAAGGACUUUGAAGAGAGAGUUCAAGAGGACGUGAAACUGCUAGAGGCCUAAACGGGUGGAACCGCGAAGGGCGAACGAGGGGAUUCAGCUCGCCGGCGGUCGGCGUGCCGUGUGGUGGGACGGCCGUCCGAGCAAUCGGGCGGUCACAGGACCCGGCGUGAACUGGUAUUGCCGUGGCCCCGCCCCGGCUGCCGGCUCGUUCCGGCGGGCUUAUUUCUCCCUCCAGUAGUGAGCGCCGCGACUCGUUGCGGGGGCCCCCAGGGCCGUGGCGGACUGGUAGCCCGGGCCUCUGUGUCCGGGUGAUGACCGUCUGCGGUGCCGAACCGGGUCCCCAUGCGACGAUCACUGUGAGGAGGCUCCGUGAGGAGCCUCUCGCGGCGAGCGAGGGAUCGGUAAUCCACCCGACCCGUCUUGAAACACGGACCAAGGAGUCCAACAACUGCGCGAGUCUAAGGGUGCUGUGAGCAGACCCGGAGGCGCAAUGAAAGUGAGCCCGAGUUUGCGGGCAGGCCGAUCCCCGGCCGGUGGCCCGUUAAAGGUACUGUGGGGGGUGUGCGUGAGCGUCUGUUCCGUGCCCCUGUCCAUGACCGUACGGCCCCGGCGCCCGGCCGUUCUCCGAAGCCUUCACGGGCGGACGGGGCGGCCGGGAGUCCCUCUGUCGGACGGGGCGCAGGCCGAGGACUUGUCGCCCACGCGGCCCGGGCGACGGGGUCGGUCCCUUCACGGGGGCCGGUCCUUAGCCCGGUGUUUCCGCGGGCAAGUACCUGAGAGCGCAAACGUUGGGACCCGAAAGAUGGUGAACUAUGCCUGGCGAGGAUGAAGCCAGAGGAAACUCUGGUGGAGGUCCGAAGCAGUUCUGACGUGCAAAUCGAUUGUCAGAGCUGGGUAUAGGGGCGAAAGACUAAUCGAACCAUCUAGUAGCUGGUUCCCCGCGAAGUUUCCCUCAGGAUAGCUGGUGCUCGGUAUGAACGAGUUUCAUCCGGUAAAGCGAAUGAUUAGAGGCCUUGGGGGUGCAAUGCCCUCAACCUAUUCUCAAACUUUAAAUGGGUGAGAUGUGGAGCUUGCUUGAUUUUAUGAAGCUCUAUGGUGUAAAUCACGGAAUCGGAGUGCCUAGUGGGCCACUUUUGGUAAGCAGAACUGGCGCUGUGGGAUGAACCAAACGCACGAGUUAAGGGGCCUAAACGGAUGCUAAUGUAGACACUACGAAAAGGUGUUGGUUGCUAUAGACAGCAGGGCGGUGGCCAUGGAAGUUGGAAUCCGCUAAGGAGUGUGUAACAACUCACCUGCCGAAGCAACUAGCCCUUAAAAUGGUAUGGCGCUUAAGCAUCCUCCCGAUACUCGGCCGCCGGGACACACAAUCGGGCUGUAAACCUAGCCUCGAGGUCCCGGCGAGUAGCGGGGUCGCUGCGGUGUGCGACGAAGGGACCCGGCGUAGGCCGGCCUGGAGCCGCCGCGGGCGCAGAUCUUGGUGGUAGUAGCAAAUAAUCAAGAGAGAGCCUCGUUGGCUGAUGUGGAGAAGGGUUCCAUGUCAACAUCAGUUGAACAUGGGUGAGUCAGGCCUAAGCCCAAGGAUAAACUUCCUGUGUCCCAGGUGUUCCGCAUGCUCGGUUUGAGUUUGAGAGUGAGAACGAGCGAUCUUGACACCAUUACCGUCCGUGCCAAAGGUCCACCCACGGCCGCGGCGGGUCCCAGGAACAGUGUAGCUCGUUAAGGAGGAACGUGAGGCGUGUUCGGGUGUCUGUUCUCGGUCGCGGUGCACGCCACUCGCCUCCUCGGAGGUGGGUGUGCGUUCAGCACGGACCGGACGGCCCGGCCGCCGCCACGGGCCAAUAAGACGGCACGCUGGGAGAGGGAUCCCCGUCGUGGCUCACGGGUGGUGCCGAGUAGCCGGGCAGAGAGAACUCGAGCUGUUACUGUCUAUACGAACAACUGACAUCAAGCAGCCCUGGAGAGCUGGGAUGCAGUGGCGAAAGGGAACACGGUAAUCAUUCCGUGACCUGUGUUCGGACUGGCUCGGGCCCUUCCUCCGGGAGGGCCCGGGUCAUAUGUGUGACGAGCCCU